CCGAUUAGGUAGUUGGUGAGGUAACGGCCACCAAGCCGACGAUCGGUAGCCGGUCUGAGAGGAUGAACGGCCACAUUGGAACUGAGACACGGUCCAGACUCCUACGGGAGGCAGCAGUGGGGAAUCUUCCGCAAUGGGCGAAAGCCUGACGGAGCAACGCCGCGUGAGUGAAGACGGCCUUCGGGUUGUAAAACUCUGUGAUUCGGGACGAAAGAUAAGUAGACGAAUAAUCUGCAUAAGUGACGGUACCGAAAAAGCAAGCCACGGCUAACUACGUGCCAGCAGCCGCGGUAAAU
rnacentral:rRNA from 1 species